CGAUGCAACGCGAAGACCUUACCUGGUCUUGACAUCCCGGAGACCCUUAGGAAACUAGGGGGUGCUUCCGAUCUGGAAGAAUCUGGAGACAGGUGCUGCAUGGCUGUCGUCAGCUCGUGUCGUGAGAUGUUGGGUUAAGUCCCGCAACGAGCGCAACCCUUGCCUUUAGUUGCCAGCAGUUCGGCUGGGCACUCUAAAGGGACUGCCGGUGUUAAACCGGAGGAAGGUGGGGAUGACGUCAAGUCCUCAUGGCCUUUAUGACCAGGGCUACACACGUACUACAAUGGCCGAUACAAAGGGCGAGCGACACUGCGAGGUGAAGCCAACUCCCGUAAAAAUCGGUCUCAGUCCGGAUUGGAGUCUGCAACUCGACUCCAUGAAGUUGGAAUCGCUAGUAAUCGUGGAUCAGCAUGCCACGGUGAAUACGUUCCCGGGCCUU
rnacentral:rRNA from 1 species